GAAAUGCCUCCAUGAGAUCCAACUGUAAGGCAUUUUCCCAAUUAGUGAUCAAGGGGGAAAGGCCCCUUGUGGGUGGGACCAUCUCUGGGCUGGUAGUCUU
rnacentral:miRNA from 1 species